rnacentral:rRNA from 1 species
ACGGAGGGUGCAAGCGUUGUUCGGAAUUACUGGGCGUAAAGCGCGUGUAGGCGGUCAGGUCAGUCGAGUGUGAAAGCCCGAGGCUCAACCUCGGAAGUGCAUUCGAAACUGCUUGGCUUGAGUACGGGAGAGGGAAGUGGAAUUCCUGGUGUAGAGGUGAAAUUCGUAGAUAUCAGGAGGAACACCGGUGGCGAAGGCGGCUUCCUGGACCGAUACUGACGCUGAGACGCGAAAGCGUGGGGAGCAAACAGGAUUAGAUACCCUGGUAGUCCACGCCGUAAACGGUGAGCACUAGGUGUAGCGGGUAUUGACCCCUGCUGUGCCGCAGCUAACGCAUUAAGUGCUCCGCCUGGGGAGUACGGCCGCAAGGUUA